rnacentral:rRNA from 1 species
UUAAAUUGAAGAGUUUGAUCAUGGCUCAGAUUGAACGCUGGCGGCAGGCCUAACACAUGCAAGUCGAGCGGUAGCACAGAGAGCUUGCUCUCGGGUGACGAGC